CUAUUGGCUUCUAUUGGGCCCCUACUGUGUCCUAUUGGGUCCCAACAUGAUCAACACGACGUCUAUAGGGUCCUCCCAUCCCCUAUGGCUUCUAUUGGGUCUCUACUGGCUUCUAUUGGGCCCCAACAUGAUCAUCUCGACAUCUAUAGGGUCCUCCCAUCCCCUGUGCCUUCUAUUGGGCCCCUAUUGGUUCCUAUUGGGUCCCUACUGGGUUCUAUCGGUCUCCUUUUAGGUCCUCCCAACCCUAUAGCCUCUAUGGGGUUCCUAUUGGCUUCUAUUGACUCCUAUUGGGCCCCAGUGUGAUCAACUCAACGUCUAUUGGGUCCUCUCAUCCCCUAUUGGCUUCUAUUGGGGUCCUCCCAUCCCUAUUGGGGUCCUCCCAUCCCCUAUGGCUUCUAUAGGGCCCCUUAUUGGGUUCUAUUGGGUCCCUAAUGGCUUCUAUGGGGCUCCUUUUGGGUCCUCCCAACCCUAUAGCCUCUAUGGGGUUCCUAUUGGCUUCUAUUGACUCCUAUUGGGCCCCAACGUGAUCAACUCGACGUCUAUAGGGUCCUCCCAUCCCCUAUUGGCUUCUAUUGGGGUCCUCCCAUCCCUAUUGGGGUCCUCCCAUCCCUAUGGCUCCUAUUGGUUCUCAACAUAAUCAACUUGACGUCUAUUGGGUCCUCCCAACCCUAUAGCCUCUAUUGGGCCCUUAUUGGCUUCUAUUGUGUCCUCCCAUCCCCUAUUGGCUUCUAUUGGGGUGCUCCCAUCCCCUAUUGGCCUCUAUUGGGCCCCUAUUGGCUCCUAUUGGGCCCCUACUGGGUUCUAUUGGGCUCCUAUUGGCUCCUCCCAUCCCUAUUGGCCUCUAUUGGGUCCCUACUGGCUCCUAUUGGGCCCCUAUUGGUUCCUAUUGGGCCCCUAUUGGUUCCUAUUGGACCUCUACUGGGUUCUAUUGGGCUCCUAUUGGCUCCUCCCAUCCCCUAUUGGCUUGUAUUGGCUCCUAUUGGAUCCUCCCAUCCCCUAUUGGCUUCUAUUGGCUCCUAUUGGGUCCUCCCAUCCCCUAUUAGCUUCUAUUGGCUCCUAUUGGGUCCUCCCAACCCUAUUGGCCUCUAUUGGGCCCCUAUUGGUUCCUAUUGUGUCCCUACUGACUUCUAUUGGGCUCCUAUUGGCUCCUCCCAUCCCCUCUUGGCUUCUAUUGGGCCCCUACUGGGUUCUAUUGGGCCCCUAUGGCUUCUAUUGGGGUCCUCCCAUCCCUAUUGGGGUCCUCCCAUCCCUAUGGCUCCUAUUGGUUCUCAACAUAAUCAACUUGACGUCUAU
rnacentral:lncRNA from 1 species